UUACUUACCACGAAUUGCAGACGCUUAGAGUGGUAAACUUUCGAACGCAUAGCACCGACUGGGUCUCCAGUCGGUACGUCUGGUUCAGGGUUG
rfam:Caenorhabditis japonica strain DF5081 Contig18865.1, whole genome shotgun sequence.